rnacentral:rRNA from 1 species
GAUGAACGCUGGCGGCGUGCCUAAUACAUGCAAGUCGAGCGAAUGGAUUAAGAGCUUGCUCUUAUGAAGUUAGCGGCGGACGGGUGAGUAACACGUGAGUAACCUGCCCAUAAGACUGGGAUAACUCCGGGAAACCGGGGCUACUACCGGAUAACAUUUUGAACCGCAUGGUUCGAAAUUGAAAGGCGGCUUCGGCUGUCACUUAUGGAUGGACCCGCGUCGCAUUAGCUAGUUGGUGAGGUAACGGCUCACCAAGGCAACGAUGCGUAGCCGACCUGAGAGGGUGAUCAGCCACACUGGGACUGAGACACGGCCCAGACUCCUACGGGAGGCAGCAGUAGGGAAUCUUCCGCAAUGGACGAAAGUCUGACGGAGCAACGCCGCGUGAGUGAUGAAGGCUUUCGGGUCGUAAAACUCUGUUGUUAGGGAAGAACAAGUGCUAGUUGAAUAAGCUGGCACCUUGACGGUACCUAACCAGAAAGCCACGGCUAACUACGUGCCAGCCGCCGCAGUAA